GGCCAGACUCCUACGGGAGGCAGCAGUGAGGAAUAUUGGUCAAUGGGCGCGAGCCUGAACCAGCCAAGUCGCGUGAGGGAUGACGGCCCUACGGGUUGUAAACCUCUUUUGUCGGGGAGCAAAUUCCGUUACGUGUAACGGAGUCGAGAGUACCCGAAGAAAAAGCAUCGGCUAACUCCGUGCCAGCAGCCGCGGUAAUACGGAGGAUGCGAGCGUUAUCCGGAUUUAUUGGGUUUAAAGGGUGCGUAGGCGGACUGUCAAGUCAGGGGUAAAAUACGGGGGCUCAACCCCGUCGAGCCGUUGAAACUGGCAGACUUGAGUUGGCGAGAAGUACGCGGAAUGCGCGGUGUAGCGGCGAAAUGCAUAGAUAUCGCGCAGAACUCCGAUUGCGAAGGCAGCAUGCCGGCUCCACACUGACGCUGAGGCACGAAAGCGUGGGUAUCGAACAGGAUUAGAUACCCCCGUA
rnacentral:rRNA from 1 species